GAUGAACGCUGGCGGUAUGCCUAACACAUGCAAGUCGAGCGACAAGACGAUGAGCUCUUUCCCCUGCCGUUAGCGGCUGGCGGGUGGGUGACACGUGGAUAGCCAUCCUAUUAUACUGGGAGAACUACGGGGAGAAGCUUACAAUAACACAUCAUAUAUCCUACAGCAUGGAGAAGUAGUGCAACAAGGCUUGGUCGUCACAAUUAGAUGGAUCCGCGCUGACUUAGCUAGUUGGUAAAGUAACGCCUUACCAAGGCAACGAUGCGUAGCUGAGCUGAGAGGAUGAUCUGCCACACUGGAACUGAGACACGGUCCAGACUCCUACGGGAGGCAGCAGUAGGGAAUAUUCCACAAUGGGCGAAAGCCUGACGUAGCAAUACCGCGUGAGUGAAGAAGGUCUUCGGAUCGUAAAACCCUGUUGUUGGGAAAGAACAAAUGUGUAUGUAUAUAUGCACGUCUUGACGGUACCUAAACAAUAAGCCACGGCUAACUACGUG
rnacentral:rRNA from 1 species